GGCUCGUUUGUCAAGGGUUAUGGAUUCUUGCUUCGGGUGCGAGAGGUCUCGGGUUCAAAUCACGGACGAGCCC
rnacentral:tRNA from 1 species